AUGUCGGCACCAGCAUCUACUCCCUGUGGUUCCAAGAGCGCGCGAGGCACCUACAGUGGCGUCGACAGGCUCAGCAGCCUUCCCAGUGAACUGCUCCACCGCGUCAUGUCCUUCCUGCCCAUGCCGGAGGCCGUGCGCACAAGUCUGCUCUCGCCGAGCUGGCGCUAUCUCUGGGCAUCUACGCCAUACAUCCGCAUCGACCACCACGACUUCAUGGAUGACAACGAAAAGAUGGAGAAGUUUGGGGACCGCCUGCUGCUCUUGCGCGACACCACUGCUUCCUUGGAUGAAGCCCGGAUCAUUGACCACACGGUUGCUAGUACCACAUGUACUGUGUGGAUUCGUCAUGUCAUCAUGCACAAAGUUCGUCACCUCCAUGUUUCCGGAUUGGGCCAUCUGGAUAGCUCAGCCAUGCCUCCUUCUAACCACCUCAGAACAAUCAGGCUCCAAUCUGGGAAAUGGGCUCUUUAG
rnacentral:rRNA from 1 species